UACAGAGGGGGCAAGCGUUGUUCGGAAUUACUGGGCGUAAAGGGCGCGUAGGCGGCCUUCUAAGUCGAACGUGAAAUCCCCAGGCUCAACUUGGGAACUGCAUCCGAUACUGGAUGGCUUGAAUUCGGGAGAGGGAUGCAGAAUUCCAGGUGUAGCGGUGAAAUGCGUAGAUAUCUGGAGGAAUACCGGUGGCGAAGGCGGCAUCCUGGACCGACAUUGACGCUGAGGAGCGAAAGCUAGGGGAGCAAACGGG
rnacentral:rRNA from 1 species